GGGCCCGCACAAGCGGUGGAGCAUGUGGUUUAAUUCGAUGAUACGCGAGGAACCUUACCAGGACUUAAAUGUAAGUUGCAUGAUUCAGAAAUGAGUCUUUCUUCGGACUACUUACAAGGUGCUGCAUGGUUGUCGUCAGCUCGUGCCGUGAGGUGUCAGGUUAAGUCCUAUAACGAGCGCAACCCCUAUCGUUAGUUGCCAUCAAGUAAAGUUGGGAACUCUAGCGAAACUGCCGGUGCAAACCGUGAGGAAGGUGGGGAUGACGUCAAAUCAUCACGGCCCUUACGUUCUGGGCUACACACGUGCUACAAUGGCCGGUACAGAAAGCAGCCACUAUGCGAAUAGGAGCUAAUCUACAAACCCUAUCUCAGUUCGGAUCGCAGUCUGCAACUCGACUGCGUGAAGCUGGAAUCGCUAGUAAUCG
rnacentral:rRNA from 1 species